UACGGGGGGGGCAAGCGUUGUUCGGAAUUACUGGGCGUAAAGCGCGUGUAGGCGGUCCGGUAAGUCCGCUGUGAAAGUCGAGGGCUCAACCCUCGAAUGCCGGUGGAUACUGUCGGGCUUGAGUACGGGAGAGGCGAGUGGAAUUCCUGGUGUAGCGGUGAAAUGCGCAGAUAUCAGGAAGAACACCGGUGGCGAAGGCGGCAUCCUGGACCAACACUGACACUGAGGAGCGAAAGCCAGGGGAGCAAACGGG
rnacentral:rRNA from 1 species